GUAGUUCGUGCGUCGCCCUUCGCCUACGCCCCGUCCCCGUCCCACUUCCUGCACUCUCGAUACAAAAAUCAAAACCACCGCUUGCCCUGCGCAUCCUCCGCCCGCUCCAGAAACCGCUCGCCUCCCACGCACGCUCCAGAAACCGCUCGUCUCCCGCUCGCCUCCCACGCGCGCUCCACUUCCUCCCCAAGAGCGCCUUCCUCGUCUCCCUCCCCCACGCGCCCACGACGGCCUGAGCUCCCACCGCCGGACCGCCGUGGGACCGGGCCGCAUCUGCCGCAGCCGUCGCCUUCCCCCCUCAGGCAGCAGGGCGCCCGCGCGCCCCCCGUGUCGCCACCGCCGCUGGCCCCUCCGGAACGCGCCCCUGUCGGUGUCCCCCUCCGGCCGCAGGGCGCGCAGGCGCCCCCGGACCCGCGCCGAUGCCGUCUCCUUCCAGCCGCAGUGCACGCAGGCACCGCCGGACCUCGCCGCCGACGCUGUCUCCCUCCGACUGUGGGACACGCAGCCGCCUCCCGGCCUCGCGGCCCCCGAAUCACGCCUCCCGGGCUUCGCGGCCACGGUCGCACCAUGGAGGACGACAUGAAGGAGGCGAGGCAGUGGCAGCAUAGGGCGUUCCAGUGGGGGAUGCUCAAGGUGUUCCUGCUGCUCGGCCUGGGGCUGACCGUGGCUGGCAUGCUCAUGGCGCGGCACGGGCACGCGGCGGCGGUUAAGCUGUUCCGGCCAUGGCUUGGAGGCGGAGCCUCCCCUGCUGCCGCUGCCGCCAACACUGUGGCGGCGGAGGGACUGGAUCACUCGAUGACGGACGAGGACCUGCUCUGGCGUGCGUCGUUCCGCCCGGGGGUGCGGCGGUACCCAUUCCGGCGUGUGCCCAAGCUGGCCUUCAUGUUCCUCACGCGCGGCCCGCUGCCGCUGGCGCCGCUCUGGGAGCGCUUCUUCCGGGGGAACGAGGGCCGCUACUCCAUCUACGUCCACGCGCUGCCGUCCUACCGGACCAACUUCACCUCCGAAUCCGUCUUCUAUCGACGCCAAAUCCCCAGUAAGGUGCCGGAGCUUGGAUCCCUGGCUUGCAGUCCACCUGCCCGCCCCUGCCCCUGCAGCUCGUCAUCUUGAUCGCGCAGCUCUCAUCCACCCAGGCGAAAUCAGAUCGCCUGGAGCAUGACAAGCACCCGCUGGCCUUCCAGAAUAGGUCCCAACAAUUUCUAUUUUUCAAGUGAGUAUAAAUGGUUGAAUGAUUGGGUAACACUCACACGUGUUUCUGAAUUGCCCAUCUGAUUUCUGAACCUUGCCGCUAUCCUUCUGUUCAAGGCAGGUUUCGCCGGUGAUGAUGCAUCAAGAGCUGUCUUCCCUUCCCUAGCAUUGUGGGAAGACCACGCCAUAUACUGGUGUCAUGGUAGGCAUGGGCCAAAAGGAUGCUUACGUUGGUGAUGAAGCUGAGGCAAACAUAGGCAUCUUGACACUGAAACGAUUGAACAUGGCAUCAUCAAGAAUUGGAAUGACAUGGAGAAAAUCUGACGUCACACCUACAGCGAACUCCGUGUUACCUGAAGAUCAUCCUGUGUGUCGCUGACAGAGGCCCCUCUCAGUCCCAAGGCCAACAGAGAGAAGAUGACGCAGAUGAUAUAUUUUUCAUAUAGAUCUACCGACAACAUUUCUAUUGAUUUUUUAUAUUGACACACAUCGCUUCUGGAAAUCAUAAAUUAGAAUGAUAAUUAAUAUUCUGUA